GCAGAACGUAACGCGCGCUCAAGCAAUUCACUCAUAAUGUAAGACCGCGGACGAUGGACACAACUUUUCGACUCUACAAAGCAAUAUAGUGUUAGAAUUAGUUUAUUUCAUUCUAGUUGGGGUGCAUACUUCUUAUGAUGAUGCAGCAGUCCAUGCUUCCACUAUUAUUACUUACAAUAGCGGCUCUGUCUUCAACAAAUGAACUUCCUCUGAUAGAAGAUCAAGACCUAGAUGAUCUUAUAAGUGACCAAAUCAAAAACACUUUAAACAACAGGCUACCAGAUAAAAACAAACAAAGAGAUAUCCUUCUUAGUAAAAUUUAUAGAAAAUUGAAUUUAAAACCUAUACUUUCAAAUGGCUAUGGAGUUCACAGCAGUGGUGAUGAUAUUUUUAAUGAACAAUUAAGUAAAGAAUAUAUAGCUGAUGAUGAUGGUAUCAAAAAUGAUCAAGGGCGCGAAUAUCCAACGUUACUCGAUGGUUUUGGAGUAGGACUUGAAACAAAUCCUACUUCAAUAACUAAACUGAUUCAUAUACCACAAAAGGUUGAUAUAAACGAUGAGGAUAAGCUGAUUGAACUGCUUCUUAAUAGUAAUGAUGAGAUUGUUACUAUCAGCCCACUUUUAAUACUUAAGAUUCGAUUAUCAUAUUUGAACAAUGACUUAAGAAUGCCUGGUCAAGGCAAUAACGGACAGACGAAUGAGAUUUCAACUGAUUCAGAGUCUGGAAGAUUGUAUAACAAAAUACUUGAAAGUGGCAACAAUGUUGUUGAUGGUGAUAAUCAGUCUCUUUACUUACCUACGGAGACAAGUAAGAAGUUAGUGAAGAAGAGAAUAUUCUCGCUAUGGAGUAGAAUACAAGGACUCCACAGAGGACAUGAGCUGCAUCAUCGACGUCACCUUCAUGCAUUUUACGGCAUCCCUGAUGAUGGCGGUGGUGGUAGUUCCAAAAGUGGGACCCUGACGGCAGAAACUCGAGCUACAUUCAUCCGACCUCCGGGAUCACCAUUAAGAUGGGGUUAAAAUCUGCAAACGAAUUCAUCAUCUUUAUUUUGAUGUUGUUAAAAGAAUUAUUUAUGAGCAGAUACUGGCAUUAUAAUAUAAACGGAAUCAAAUCUGAAAUAAUUUAUUCCAAACGUCCUUCAUAAAUUCAUAUUGCUGUUGACAGUUGAAGUAUGUGUAAAUUCUGUGAUGUGAUUUAUGAUGACAUUGACAUUUGUGAUGUAGUCAAUUAGUCAUUUUUCGUUUAACAAAUUAAAUUGCACAUUUCUUCAAUCCUGUUUUACAAACAUUAUGUAAAUUUGCAAUUCUUCAGCAAUAAUAAUAUAUUGUAUUAACUAGGCUAUUUCAGUCCUUAAUUUGUCAUGUCAAACUUACACAAUGCUAACAACGAGUAUCUGCUAUCUGCCAUGUAAUUUAACCGUACUCAAAGUAGGCGUCGAAACGACGCUGAAUAAUACAAUAAUUAUAUGACCAAAUAUUAUGAUAUUAUAUUAUAAAUAUUCUAAUAUCUAUUGCGAACUAUUUAUCUUCACUAGAAAUUAUACAAGAUAUUUUUUCAAACGUGUAACAGUUUACCCAGUCUAAAUAUUUAUUACUCAUAUCUUGUAUACAAUGUUUAAAAAGAAAUGCUUGUAUGUUUAGAUAAUUUUAUAAUUGUUCGGCUGGAACAACGUAUUAGGGCUUACAAUAAUAUAAUAUAUACCUAGAUGUAGGUACUUACUUAGCCAACCGAUCAUAAAAACUAUAUCAUAAGAGUAGAUAUUUAAUAUUUAAAAUAUUAUAUACUUAGUCAAUCUUAUAUAAACCACUAUUACAUUAUAAUAAUAUCGUAUACUUAUAUCGACAAAUUAUUAUUGUACAUAAAUUAAAGCGCAUGAUACAGUA